rnacentral:tRNA from 1 species
GCCCCUGUGGCGGAACUGGCAGACGCGGCAGACUCAAAAUCUGUUGCCCGUAAGGGCGUGGGAGUUCGACUCUCCCCGGGGGCACCA